rnacentral:lncRNA from 1 species
CGCGAGGCUCCCUGUAAGCCAGGGCGUCGGCUCUCGCCCUCCACGGGGAGGAGGCCGGGCCCCGGCGAGGCGUCCCACUCCCGCCCUGGCCAGGCUCGGUCCCCGGUCAGGGAUUGCAGAGCCCCCCUUCUGUCGGCUGUGACUCGGGCCUGAGCUGUGUGACUGUGCCGCAUCAAAGUUUGAAGGCCCAGCGAUCAUAAUAGCAGCUGCCAGUUAUUGGGAACCACGUGCCAGGCAGGCCGGGGACCUAUGCCUUUGUGUCGUCGCAUUACUCCUCGUAGCAGCGCCAUUAAAUGCUGGUAUGGCCCACCACCCCCUUUCGCAGAUGGAGGGGCUGAGAUCAGAAGCAGUUUGCCCCAGGCCUCUCGGGAGAAGCGGCACAGCCUGCAUUUGGGCCGGAUCCCUGAUUCUGCAUCUGAGGCUUUUACACUCUGCUAAUCUGGCUCCUGUGACAAUAGAUUCAGGGGGCGCAGCUGGCUGCCAGCUCUGUUGCUUACCUUAGCUCACUGCUGCCUCAUCCCCAGUAGGAAGACCCUUCUACCCAGAGCUAAGCCCCACUUCCCAUUCUGACGAUGCCCAGGACCUGUGAGCUCUAUGCCAGGAGCCUGAAGAUUCCAUGCCAAGUUAGCACCCACCUGUCACACGGGGUCUCCUUGCUCAGGUGAUGGGAAAAGACACGGUCUGUCCAGCAUCUGAGGAGAGGCCGUGAGAAAGUGGGUGAUUUCAGAACGCCCAGUUUGUUGGACCAAGUCUGCCAUGCCGGUGUCAUGAGGCUGGGAAGUGUGGGUGAGCGCAUUUCCCGCGACGUUCACCAAACCCCAGCUACCCCAAGGCUGCCUGCCUCUCUCAUCUCCACCCUCUCUCCCUGGGAGACACGGAGACGGGCAUUUUGGCUAUCCACGUGGCUUUCCAGGUUGGUAUAAAAGGCCGAGUGAUGCUGGACAUUGGCGGCAGACCAGACACGAGGCCCAGCACAGGGUGCCCACAGCAAUCCAGAUUUUCCAGCCUCCAUAUCUGUGGCAGGUCAGGGACGCAGAGCUGGGUCCAGGACUGGGCUGCGAGGAUGCCCCGGUCCAGCGAAAGGGAACCGCCUGGAAGCUGGUAGCAGAGUGAGAGGCGGGGCCCCUUCCCUGGCUCUUUGGCCGUUUCUGGGCUGGGUUAUUCUCGAGGGCUGCCGUGCCCACUGGGCUCUGCCGAUGAAGGGAGGAGGCCUGUCCCUGAACCAGCUGGGGUAGCCGUGAAGCCAGACCCUCCCGUUUGGAGUGCCGCAACCCUGUAGCUCUGAGCACCUCUCCCAAAGGCAACCGCAGAGCCCGUGGAUUUACCCCCGCGUGUGGAGCUGCGCUGAAUGCAGUCGGCACACAGGAGCCCACUGUUGGGGCCGCAGCCGUGCACCCGUCCUCCUGCCGGCCUCGCUGCAGUUUCUGUUAAAAAGUAAGACCCUGGGCGGCUUUCCUGUGGCCAUCCCCGGUGACCAUCCUGAGCAGGACCUCUGGCCACCACUACCCUGUCUGUGCUGCCUGUGGCAGCUGUGCCAGAGCAGCCGGUGUCAAUCCGCCAUGACAGGAGCUGGGGGACACAACAUGGCAGCUGUGGUCAGCCCUGGGGAGGAGAAGGAGCCCAGCCCUGUGGGGCCUUGUCCCUGGGGAGCACAGGGAUGGGGACACUGGUGUCUUCCCUUGCCUCUGUCCACAGGCCCAGGCCCAGCCCUCGCGUCCCCAGCUGGUUUCUCUGCACACCUCCCUCCCUUUGCCUGAGACAAAGCCUCCAGCCCUCUGCGUGGCCUGAUCCCUGGGGGGCACCCACAGGGUGGGGAAGCCACCCCACCAUGGUGGUGGCAAAGCCUCAGAAGCUCCCAGAGCUCUGCCCUGGACGCUGGACCUGGGCCUGGGGAUGUGAGUUUGACUUAAUGCCCCCCAACCACAGAACGGACCAUCUGGCUGUUCCUGCUCUUGGCAGUGGCCAGGUCCCCAGCCUUCCAGAGGCCAUUGCUAACCUCACCUCCAUCACCCGGACCCCAAAGUCCCUCCUUGGUGAGAGGCUGCAGGGGCAGUGGAGGGAGCAGCCGCACAGGAGUGAGAAUGCCUGGGCUAGCCGGGGACUGGUCAGGUCACCCACCCUCUGUACCCUGGAUGCUCCAGCAGGGUCCUCAAACGGGCAGCCUACAGGGUCCGGCAGGCCAGAUGGGGCACAGUGAAGAGUUUGCGGGGACUGUGGGAACAGAGCGCCCAGGCCUGCCCUAAGGGGACGCCACACAUCGGGUCGUCCAGUUGCUGCCAAGAGGGACUCAGCCCCAUCUCCCGUUUUUACUGGUGGCCCUUGUAGCAAGGAGAAGAAGAGAAGGAGGCACUGAGUGGGGAGUAAAACAAACCUGGUAUGAAAAGCUGGCUGCUCGGCUUAGGAAGCUGGAAAGCAAAGUGGAGGUCCAGAGGCCCGGGGCUCCUUGCCGGGACUGGCUACGUAGUUUGCAAAGCCCAGUGCAAAAUUAAAACGUGGAGCCCUUGUUCAACAGUGACUAAGAGUUUCAAGAUGGUGACGACAGAGCAUGAACCCAAGCGUGGGCCCUUUGAGCACAGGGCAUCCCUGAGGGUGGGGCCCUGUGUGGCAGAUCCGUCACAGACCCACUGAGCUGGCCCCACUCCUUGCACCUGUUCGUGACACGUGCUGAGGACCCACAGGCAGCUCUGUUGAAGGAGCAGGACUCCUUUUCUGUGCCGAUUUUUUUUUUUUUUUUUUUUUUUGCCAUCACUGAUGUUGCAUGUAUAUUUUAGAACAUUUUGAAUCCUCACAAAAGAAGAAAAAAAAUUUUUGAUCACCUAUAAAACCAUACUCAGAGGUAGCCAGUGGGAACACUUCACCCAGCUUUUAUGUAAACAUAGAAUUUUAAACAAAAUUAGUAUCUUAGCAUCUUAUUAUAUGUAUCAUUUUGUCUUCUGCUUGUUUUACUAUUUUAUCACAACUCAUUCCCUAUGUCAGAAGAUAGUAUUCUACAAGUUGAUUUUUAAUAACUAUUUAAUAUUCCAUCACAUGGAUUUCUUAACCCUGUUACUGGACACUUAGAUUAUUUCCAGUUCUCCCUGUUAUAAACAACCCUUUGUAUGCACAUUUCUGCUUAUUUCCUAAGGGAGUGAAGGCUGUCACAAGAGACCUUUAGGUUCCAAAAGCUUCUUAGGGUUGUCUCUGAAUUCUGCCCUGGCCAAGGGCUCAGCCCCCAGGGCCCUGUGUAGGGUCAGUACUGGGGGGCUAGCCCUGGCAUCUUAUUUUUAGAGAAAAACACAAGUCUCCCCGGAGCUGACUUGACAGGGCAGUGUUGAGCACUCACUGCAUGCGCAGCACCGGCUGCCCAUGUUGACAGCCGCCCUGUGAGGUGCUGUCAUCAGCCCCUUAUGAACGGGGACCCUGGGCCCGAGGAGCAGAGGCACUGGCCCAAGGACCUCCUGCCUGUCCUGUUGUGAGAAGGACACAUGAAUGAUUCUGAAGCAGAAAACGGCCCCUCGACCUCCCAAACUAUGGGCCAGGAAUUGGGGGUUCCGCUGAGCCUGUCAGGGUGGGGAUGGCACGAGAUAAUGCUUAGCACGGUGCCUGCUCAUGGGCAACACUCAGUGAGUGGUGGCAAGGAGGAUAGGCAGGAGGAGGAGGAGCAGCUGCCAGGAGGUGAGGUUAGAGCCCCUGGGACAGGAGGCUCUGCAGAGCGUCUGGCCGCCUGGUGGAAGGCUCCGAGGGCAGGGAUGAGGUCUGCUGAUCCUAGCCCUGCCCCGCCCGCGACAGAUGAGCACGGUGCGUGGAGCACAGGUGUCAGCAGCCGCGUCCCCUCAGUCUCCCUCAGAGGCCUCUGGGGUGUUGGUGGGCAGGGGCUGUAUGAGUUUCCUAUUGCGGCCGUAACAGAGUUCGCUGAUUUAGAGGCUCAAACAACACAAGUUUAUUGUCGUACCAUCGUGGAAGUGGGAAGUCUGAAAAAUCUCAUGGGCUGAAAUCAAGGCGUGGGCAGGACUGGCUCCUUCUGGGGAGAAUCCCUUUCCUAGCCUUUUCUGGCUUCUAGAGGUGCCACAUUCCUUGGCUCAUGGCCUCUUCCUCCAUCUCCUAAGAGGGAUGUUGUGCCUCUCUCUGACCACAGCUGGAAAAGGUUCUUCACUUUUAAGGAUUCAUGUGAUCAGAUUGGCCCCACCUGGAUAAUCCUAGCUGCUCUCCCAGCCCCCGGCCCUCAACUUCAUCCACCUGCCGACUGGAUUUGGACUGUUCUGGAUUUGUUCCUGGGCUGAGGAGCUUCCUGCCAGAGGCCCCACCGGCCCCAUCUUUUGCCUACCUCAAGGCAGAGGUUCUGGGAACUCGGGCAGAUUCUCUGCUCAACCAGAAGCUUCUCUUCCUCUCCUCAACUCCAUGGGGCAGGCACUAUUAUCCCCAGUUUACAGGUGGGCAAACUGAGGCCCAGAGAGGCCAGAAAAUGUGCUCAUUCCCCCAUAGCUGGCAAGUACAAGGGCUGAACCGUCAGUGAUGGUUGGACCCUAAACCCAGGCCUCCACGGGGCCCACCGCCUGCCUCUGGGGAUAUGGCCUUCCCUGGCUCUCACUUAGCCACAGCCCUGCAUUCUUUCCCGAGGGUGGCAGCCCUUCCUGCCCCGUUCCCAGAGCAGCCGGCUUCUCUCAGGGACAGAAGGGCCGUGGGGCAGCCCUUGUUAGUGGGCUUGUGUGAGUGCGGAGGAAUCUGGGAGCCCCACCGGGGCAGAGCCUCACCGUGGCUUGCAUGUUGGGGGUGAAGGUGUGGAUGGCAAAGGACCAGUCUGUCCCAGCCAGAAUGGCAGGGGCUCUUCCUGGUCUGGGCACUGACUGGGGGCCCUCGGGGUGUCUCUUUCCCCAGCUGCGGCACAGCAUGCUGACCUGUGCACGGCUGAGCAGCUUUGAAUGAGAAAAUAAGAGAGCGUUCCCAGGGCCACGUUUGAAGCUGGGGUGGCACUCGGUCCACGAUGGUGGGUGAGGAUGUGCACCCCAAGGCUGGGACUCAGCGUGGGCACAGAUGGCGUUCCCUCCAAGCUGCCUGCUGCAGCCACCCCCAACCCCAGGGCCAAGGCCUGGGCCUGGCAUGGGAGGAGUUAAGCCACUGCGGCGGGCACCUUGGCACGGCGUGCUGCCCGCCCCCACCGCUUUUCUUCCUUUUUGCCUUUUUCCUUCUUAAUUAAUCAUACGCUGCUGCCCAAUUUAAAUAUGGAAAUACCCAGGCCGGGCGAUGCCAUUAUUCCUGAGGCCGGGCGGGCGGUCCGGGGCUCUGGGCUGCGGGGAGCAUCAUGGCAUCGCCUCUUUUCUGGUGUGUGUGAAAUUAUGUGCACAAAAGGCGUCUCCUUAUCUGAGUGUGUGAACUAAAUAAAUAAAUAAGGGCUUUUGUUUGUUUGCCGGCUCCUGCACAUGACUGUUUUGACUAAAGCGCCCGUGUUGUCUGUGCCUUUCUGGGGCUCAGGAGACGCGGGCAGGGGGAGGCCCCCGCGGGCCGGCCCGGGGCUCUGGGCGGCCGCCGGGCAUCUGGGCCUCUCCCUCCCCUGGCACCGCCUGCACCCCUCACCCCUCCCCACACACCCCUCGCCGGAAAGUUCCCGGCCCGGGCUGGGCUCCCAGGCAGCCUGGCACCGUGCCAGGCUCGCCGCCGAGCGCGGGCAGCAGGGUGGGGCGAGCGGAGGCACCGCCGAGGACGUGGCCGGGCGCCCCGGGCGCGAGCAGGACCCGAGGCCGGGAGGCCGGGGCCCAGAAGGUGAGGGCACCCGGGCGCAGGGUGGGCGCGGGGCGGGCGCUCGGCGGGCAGCAGGCGGGCAGCCGGGCCGGAGCAGGCCUGGAGGGGGAGCGCGGCCGCGGAGGAGGCGGGCACAAAGCCGGGCAGUGCCAGGCAUCCCCGCCGCUGCCUCCUCCCUCCUCCCUCGGCGGCCGGCUCCGCGGGGAGGCCGCGCGUGCACGGGGCCCCGGCCGGCCGCGCGGCAGGCAGACACGGCGCUGUGGCCGCGGGGCCGGGGAAGGCCGAGCAAGGCGGGGCCCAGCGCUGUCAAGGAGAAAAACAUCCCAAGGCCUGCAAAUUGCUGCUCUCAGCUUUUUUUUUUUUUUCUCCUCCUGCUUGGGAGGAAAAAAACGCAGUGCUUCCUCUGGAGGCGGAUGCAAAAAGGAUGCAGAAUUUUAACCAUCUCCUGCACCGCGUCCCUCUCCAGCAGGGUCUGGGCCCAGGCCUGGCAUGGUGGUCCCGCGGGAGAGGGAAGGGCCAGAGCGUUAGAUGCCUCUUUCUGGGAGAUGCUGAAAAGCCAGGCCUUGUAGGCAUCCAUGUCCAGAAACGGCCCGAUGCAGGGGUGUGAGGACUGGGGUCAGGGUGCCCAGGGCCUGCAUGGCUCUGGCAUGUGGUGGCCGCUGGGCCCCAUUACAGUCACCUCUCAUGUCACCAUAAGGCAUGUUUGACUGGCUCAUCACCUGGUGCCUGGGCACCGGGUAUGAGACCCCAGCACUGCACUGUGGGGGGUCUUGGUUCUUUCUGAUUUGGGGCUUUCAGCCUUGAUAGCAUUCUGGGCCUUUCUUGUGACUGAUUUUUGUGUUUUAAAAAUAAUACAGAAAGUUUUCUAGUGUCUGAUGAGGGCUUCACACACCGUACAUUCAGGGCAGGACUUAAGGACUGAAUUCAGAGUGACGAAGGUGGUCUGGUCACCACAGGGAUGGCAGACAGGCCCCCAGUGCAGCAGGAGGGGCCCACGCACCUCACAGGGUGAGGAUGCAGGCGGGGAGUGGGCGCAAUGUCAGAGCGAUGGUCCAGGGAGGCACAGUGCAUGGGGCCCACAAAUAUGUUUUAAUUUUAACAUCUUUUAGAAUUAGAAGAAAAAACUGACUAUAAUAAUAAUGAGAUAUAAUGAUGACUUCAGCUUGGAUUAUAUUCAUCUUUAUACCAAUGCAGUCAUAAAAUAUAAUUUUUAAUAUUUAUGGAGGAAGGACCAUGAAAGUCAUGAUGGGGCCUUGGGCUGGUCCGGUUUGUCCCAGGACAAAGGGUCAGAUGUCUGGCUCCAGGGGGGCCUUUGGGGGCCAUCUGGGUGCCCUGUGAAUCUGUCUUCUCUGAAGGCCAGCCGGGAUGGGUUGGCACUGCCUGCUGUGAAGAGGGGCCAGGGCCCUCUCAUGUGUGUGCAUGUUCCUGUGCAUACAUAUGUGUUUUACAAAGGAUUCCCACACACAUGAGUGUGCAAGACCUAAUUAUCAAGACGGGUGAACACAAGCCUGCGUCAGGUGUGGCCAGGAGGGCCUGGUGUUCCUGGCCCUUGGGUGAGGGGUUGUCACUGGGUGGGGAGACAACAGUGGCGUCUUCUAGCCAUUGUCUCCCUGGGAGAAAGCAGGCUGCGAGGCCCCUUCACAGCCCACCCGCCAUACCCACAGCCCAGCCCGGCUCUAUCCAGUAGACACGUAAGGUGAGCCGCAAAUGCAGCCACAUCUGUAAUCGAAUGUGUUCUAGUAGCCACAUUUUUUAAAAAGUAAAAAUGAGUGCAAUUCACUUUAAUUAUACAAUUUAUUUUAUCUAAUAUAUAUCCAAAACAGUGUAUUUCAAUGUGUAAUUAAUAUGAAAUUAUUAAUGAGAUGUUUCACCUUUUUUUCAUACUACGUCUUUGAAACCCAGAGUUCAGAUGGACUCUCCGAAUUUCAAAGUCUCGAUUUCCACAUGUAGCAUGUGGUCAGGGGCUGCUUUAUUGGGCAGUACAGGUUUAGCUGGUCCCCAAGCUGUGUGUCAUGUUGUCCCUGUCCGUGUCCCCCACCCCCCACCCCCCGCCUAGAGCUGGGGAGACUGAUUUUUCUGCUUUUUUGCUGGUCGCCCUUCUUGACCAGAGUAAAGGACAGUUCCCCUGCUAGUCAGGCCCCCAGCAGCCCUGAGAGCUGAAAGAAAGGGUGUUGAGGCUGCAAGUUUCCAGGACGAGGGGGGACUGCUGUAAAAGGUUCUUCGGCCGUGCUCCCAGACGCCAGGGGGAUGGUACAAAGGGUUGGCUUCAGGGUACAAUAGUGGGGCGGUUAGUCACAGUGCCGGGCAGCGGGCAGGCAGACAGAGCUCCCUGUGUCUGCGCCUGUUCGGGCUGGGCCCUGCAGCCCAAUUUCCCGGCCGGCUUCCCAUCCCUGCCCUACUCCCCGAUUAACCCCCUGCUGCCCGCUGCCUACCUGGCCGCCUGGCUGGGACAUCCUUACCAGGCUCUGGUUUCUAUCAGCCAGCCUAGCCAGAGGCAAACUCCUUCUAGAAGCCGGCCUCAGGCCUGCAUGAUUUCAUUGGCAUCUCUUGGGAAGGAGGAGUUGUAACAGCUCCGUCACCGUGGCUGUGCAGCCUUUGCAGCUCGAGGAAGGGUUUUCGUACGAGUUAGGGCGCCCUGUGUGCUUGGCUCCCUGCUUAAAGAUCUCAGCAGCAUUGGAGAGUAUUCAGCAAGGGCUGUGCAUUUCUGGAAACAAUGAAAAGCCAAAACUGUGAAAAAUUAAGGAGUGGCCCCGAAGCUGGUGCCUGCACUGCAUGUUUUAAAGGGAGAAGCCUGAUAUAAAUAUUUUAAUCCUGUGCAUAGUUAGAUGGAUAAGAUAAAAUAAAUUGGUCAUGUCCCAGCCCUGUCUGGGGAUACUUUGAAAGCAGGACUUCUGUCAGCAUUUGCUAUUUAGUAGUUACGGUUAAAAUCUGCCCUUCUAAGUUGUAAUCCUAGCGUCUCAAAGAUGGAAUUAGCUGUUUGUUGUGAUUUGACAGUUAAAUUAUUAACACGGGGAGACAGUAACUGCCCCCCAAAAAGGUGUAAAACGCAGUUAACAGUCUCUCUCUCUCUUUAAUUUAAAAAUUAUCUGUGCAGAGAUUCUGUAUUUUGGCUUUUCUUUGCUAAAUUAAAGUGGCAUGUGUUUUUAUUGUAGAAGGCAGGGAUGGUUUGCUGUGCCCUGUGUGAGGGGGGCAAGCAAAAUAAAGACUCUUGAAAAUGUGCCCAUCUACUUAACAGCUUAAAAAUUCCGAGUGCCAGGCAUUUUUCUUGGAGGAAAUAAAUGUCUCCAAUUUAUGCAUCUUACCUGUUGAUUACAUUUUGUGAUUUAAUCCUUGCCUCAAACUGAGGAUGUCUUUGGAAUAGAAGAAGCCUGGGUCUGUGGUCCACGAGAUGUGGUUCUGUCUGUUAAAAAUCACAGAACACUGACUCCAGGCCCUGUCCCCUCUUCGGACGGAACUCGGUCUGUGUGCCACAGCUCAUCCCACCUCUGCCUCCAGAGGACAGGCGAUGGGAGACAUAUGUUCCGCUCACAUCAUUUUGUUCUCAUUUAUUUUAAACCAGUUAAGAUGAUUUUAGCACAAAGAGUGGUGUAUCUUACUUGCCUUCUGAGAGCCAUUGGAUUUUCAAGCUGGAGUACAAUUUUUUUUCAAAAUCCAAAUUUAGAAAUUGCCUUUUAGAGUAGAAAAUAGCAUGCUGAUUUGCCUUUUAACUCACUUUUAAAGAAAGAUACUUAAGAUAAAUACGUUUGAUUUGUAGAUUUGUUCCCAGCCAUUGUUAUCAAGGGGCUGGAAAUGACCCGUUUUUAAAAAAAUAAGAGAAAGUGUGUUCGCACACCGGUAGAAUGAGUUCUUCUGGGGUGGACUCAAGCCCCAGAGGUUCCACAGACGUGGGCGUGAGUCACUGUCCUUUCCGUGUUCUUUCCUUCCCUGGAGGAGUGUGGCAUUUGGCUCUAAUGUCAUCGUGUGAAAAAGACAGUCCCUGCCUGGCCAAGGCGUCGGCACACCUCAGCCUUGACACUUCCUGGUGCGACUGGCACGCUGGAGCACACCUCUCGAGUGAUAAACAGAGCCUAUGCAAAUACUAUCAUUUUAAAGCAAACCCAACAAAAUCUUCACUAAUUGCAGUUCUGCCCUGGCUGCAGGCACCUCCUCCAGUAAUGGGAAAAAAAAAAAAAAAUGGAAUAACGGGAAACACACUAGAUGCCUGGGGAAAAUGUCUCCCCUGCAGGAGCCGGGAUCUGAGGUCUGGGAGCUGCCUCGGGGACCUGGGAGAUCCAAAGCCUCCAUGCAAGGCCUGGGACUCUUCAGUUUGCUCUUCCAAGCCUCAGUUUCCCAGAUGUGAAAUGAGAAGAAAAGGGUCCCUCGCAGCCCACCGUGAAGGCUUGCUGCAGGAAUAUGACAACGGCAGCCAAUGUUUGCCUAGCAAAGCUGGCCGGUUUCAUUUUCUGUUUGAGAGUGUUUCUCUAAAGGGUACAGUGCUAGAGACACGUGAACUACCGUUAUCAUCUGAAUAACUUUCCUGGCAAUAUAUGAUGAUGAUUAUUUAUGUUAAACUCAUAAAUAUUAAAAGGAAUUCAUUUUAUUCUUAUAAUGAAUUAUAUCGGUUUUACUUAAAAUAACUAUAGUUGUAUCGGUUGUAUCCUUUUCUGAUUAUGAAAGCAAUAUAGGGUCAUUGUAGGAAAUUUGGAAAAGGCAGAAAACUGCUUGUAAGGGGAAGAUGGUUCAGCAUCCUCCCCAUUCAAGCUCUGGUCACAUUUCCACGUAUUUCCUUCCAGGCUUUCUUCUCUGCCUUGUCGAUUCUUAUAGCAUCUAUUUUCGGAUAACUCCGUGACACUUUUCGGCGGGGUCCUCCUGUCCUCUUGGCGCUUCUGUCUUUCAGGGGCAGUUCCUCCUCACUGGCCUGCAGGCUGCCUCCUUUAGGCAAGCCGGGCACAGGCCCUGGUGUUCGGGGAGAAGACCUCAGGCUCCCUGGUACCCAGCCUUCUUCCCCUGCUGUUGUGGGAGCUGUGUCGGGGCAGGCCAGACAGACUCCGAACACAGCCCCAUGGCAGAGCCCAGGCUGACUCAGGACGUCGGGGAGAAGGGGCGAGUGGCAUAAGACACAGCCUCUGGCAGGGCCCAAGCCGUGGAGAUGGAGAGAGCCGGGCAGGAGAGGGUAGGGAGGUGGCAGACGGCGGGAAUGUUGCAACAUGUGGGCAGUGGUGAAAGGCAGGCCUGAGGUUUGAAUUCUCGGCAAAGAAAGCCACUUGGGCCGAAUGGGAUGUGCUAUUUCUUAGACGAGUAGAGUGACAUCAGAACUGUUGAGAUAAUGUUUUCAAGGUGUUCAGCUUUAUAGUCCUGACUUAGACCCACUAAGCAGUUGGGGGUUAGUGCCAAGGGACUUGGUAGAAACAGGCCAGCUUUUUCGUGCAAGGGCACAAUUCCCGAACUCUGUGUCGCAAUCAGGCAUGUGCCUCGGCUGUUCCCACAAAUCCGUCAGGCAAAAGUUCCACAUCACCAGGCCUCUGGAGGGAAACAAACCGAUUUCCAUAUUGCUUUCUGGAGUAACUGUGACCUGACAGGAAUUCUAGAAUUUCCAAGUUCAUUUCUGAUAGGAUAAAUGGAGUCUGUGGGGUCUGCCUUAACCUCCUUAGAAUAAUACAGCAGCGUCAAUGUCUUAACAACAGAUCACUAGAGAUUUAUUAGUAACCCACACUGCAGACAAACUUCACAGGCAAAGCCAUUGGUUGUAGUGUUAGUUAUAGGAGAGAAAUUAUUAGCAAGAGAUGAAAUCUGGAAUAAUAGGGAAUGCUGGGGUAAAUUAUCACAUAACAAAAUAAGGGAAUAUUUUGUCACUGUUAAAAUGCUGUUGACAAAGAGUUUGUAAGGGUAUGGGGACGUAUGGAUACAACAUUUCACAAACGGUAAAUAUGUAUGUAAAUUAUGUAAUUGUAUGCAUAUGUUCACUGUUGGGAAGGAAACACAAUAGAAUAUUAUUUCUGGAUAAUGGCGUGUAGGUGAAUCUUCCUUUUUCCAUGUAUUUUAUACUUGAAUUAUUUAUAUUUUAUACUCACUACUUAAAUUAUUUUAAAUAUCUAUCUUUAUAUUUUACUCUGAAAUUAUUUAGCCUUUGCUCUGUCUUCUCUAAACACGUGGUAUUUUUAUAAGCAGGAAAAAAAAUUUUUAAAGGCUCGUGAGUAGAAAUAUACACAAAUGGCAUAUUUUUCUCCAAAGAGCAAUGGAUAGAUGGCAUGUAGCAGAAAUAUUCGUUAGGCAACGAAUAUGAACAGUAAGUAAAUAUUUUUCGUUCUCUUAUAAAAGAUUCGUACACUGAUAGAUGAUUAAUCAAACACUGCAUGGGUUCCCUUAACCAAACAUAUGUACUUGCACAACUCAGGCAUAAGAAUCUCAAUUAAGAUUUUGUGUGAACUUAAGAAGUGUUUUUGUCUCCUAAACAAUAGCACUAAGAAGGAAAAAAAGGCAUUUUCGUUAUUCUUGGAUACUUGGUCGGAUGACCACCCUCCCAUGGUUAGACUUUAUGCUCAGUUUUGAGGUUGUGCUUUCUGCUUUUACUGUUUGGUGUUUAAAGGCAAUUUAAAAGAUUCUGCAGGGUCAUAUCUGGAGAAGUAUAUGGAUCUUGGAUUCAUAAUACCACAUGAUAAACUGUGGUCUUUGGGUGGAAAUCUUAGGGGUUUAUUUAUACUCAUCAUUUGCCUUCUUUAAAAAAAGAACGAAAAAAAUUUUUCCCCCAGUUUGUACUUCCCAGGACUUCUGUAUCUCAAAAUAUUUUUCUGCACACUUAAGUCACCUGCUGAUUCAGGGCCAGGGGUGCAUCGCUUGUGUCAAGAUAAGACACAAGAAUUUUCCUUUUUAACCAUAAUGCUAUAGGAUUUUGUGAUAUGGAAAAAUCUGUCCAUGUUUCCAUCUAAAAUAGUUGAGCCUUCCAGCAAGUGCCAUUUGCUUCCCGGUGAAAUGAAUUCCCGGGACCAGCAGCGUUGGGAAGGGUCGAAUCUUUAACAUGCAGGGGGGUUCGGGAAAUAUCAGUGCCCUGGUUGGCUUCAAAGGCCGGCGGGGGGCUCUCAGAGAGACCCCUGCUCGGGCUGCACGAGGCGCAGGUGAGCCGGACCAGCGGGGACCCGCCGUCGAGCGCAGAGCCCCCGCCAGGACGCGCGCGCCGCUCACCGCGCAGGCCCGGCCGGCGCAGCCUCAGUUUCCCCGGCUCCUCGGCGGGCGGGGCCGGCGGGGACCCGGGCCGGGAGGGACCGUGCGCGAGGCCGGCCCGGGAGGCGCCGGCUGGGAGGUCCCGCGGCCUCGGGGGCGCGACCCUCUAAUCCGCUUUAGUCAAUAUAUUGUGCGCUUUCCUUGGGCAAAGUAAACAGGGCGGGCGGACAAAGCGGCGGCCGCCGGCCCGCGACUCCCUGACCCCGGGGUCGCGCCCUUUGUUCGCCCUCAAUGGGGCCGCCCCCCGCCGCCCGCCCGCGGCUAAUUGGGGCGCGUGCCGCCGCCGCCCGCCCGGCCUGGGCGCGGACGCCGAGUCGGACCCCAGAUCCCGGACCCCGACCUUCGCCUGAUGCAGACUUGGCCGGGCCCCCGAUUCAGACUCCAGGCCUCGGUUCGGACCCGGCCCCCGGCCCGCGUGGACCCGGCCGCAGGCUCAGACGUCAGGCCCCUCGCCCCCCUGGAUGCGGACCCCAGGCCUCAGACCUGAGGCCGACCCGGCCCGGCUCUGGCCCCUCCCUCGUCCGGCCCCCUGCCCGCCACCCUGGGCCGCGAGCCCGGGGCCUGCCUGGAGGAGGCGCCUCUGCAGGGCCCUUGAGGACCUCCGCCAGCCCGGUGGUGGCCCAGAGAAGAGAGGCCGACGGUGUCUGUUUUGCUUUCUUUGCUGUUUAUUUCCGCUGGGAGUCCGGCAGGUGGGAAAGAAGAGGGGCCGGGGAAAGCAGAAUCCCCGGGGAGGGAGGACAGGACCCCCCCAGACACCCUUUCUGUGUGGACUCUCCCUCAACCCUUCUUUUCCCUCCACGUCACAGCCUGUCCAGAGGCUGGGGUAGUUCUGGGCAAGCCCGGGGAUGCCCGUGGGUGAAGGCAGUUGACACUCAGUUCCGGCCUUGACUAUUCCUUGUCCUCUGGGUUCUUUGUUUUUUCCUCAAAUGCUGGACAAGGUUAUAAUUUUUAUCCCAAGAAGCUUUUGAGACUUAGCUCCUUGUAACUUUUUUUUCCCAAGGGUUUUGCCUGUUUUUUUAAAAGCACUUUCUCUUGUAAUUAGGUGCGAAAAGGAAGCAAGAGAAAGGGGUCUUGGAAGCCUUUGCCCUUGAAGACGGACUGAGUAGCUUCCAAUUCUUGGCCAAGCCAGGCAAGGCCCUCUGGCCCAGUCUUCAUUUACUUCAUUGUUUUGUUCACCUGGCUUUGCCAGGGAGACUUUUAAAAAUGUUGUUUGUUUCUGAGCUGGUCAUUUGUGGGGUGGAAUAUUCUAGUGCGGAAUUUGGCUCUGGGAAGACUCGGUGUUCUGGAGUCACCGGGCAGUGUCUUGCUCUCCUGAGGACGAGCCUGGGGUGGGGGUCCUGCGUGUGCCACGAGUUGGAAGGAGCAGGUGCAUCAGUAAAUGUUAGGGGUGGUGCUAAUCUGCCGGAACGGGAGCCCUCUGGAGACGUGCCCUGCUCUUGUGGCCUUCCAUAGACCUCUUCCCCAAACACCCCAAUUCCUCUUUCUUUAUCCCUUCCUCACUGUCCUUCCUCCCACUGUCACAGCGCCCACCUGUCCUUUCUCUUUUCUGAGGAACAAUAACUCCAUCUGGUCGGCAUAGAUGUGCCACUGCAGAAUGCUGAUGUCCGGGCCCGGGACCCUGGCCACGCUCCGGGAGAGAACCGCCACGGUGAGGCUCUCCGCAGGGAGCCAUUCAUCAGCCCUUUCCUUGCUGACAUGAGACUUUGAGAUUUCCCCAGGUCGUCCUCGUCACCCGCUCGGUCUUUUACGCUGAGACCACGGGCAGGGGCCUGCCAGGUUCACAGAGGCCCAGAAGCAGAGUGGGGCUCAGGUGGGGCUCAGAGCCCCCCUGGCUGCUUGGCGGGGAGCCCCUGGUUGCGGGGCGCUGACGCCCCAGCAGAAAGGGCAGUGGACAGAGAGCGUCGUGACCCUUCAGCUCAGGCGAGGCGGCUUUGUUACGAGGACUCUGGCAGGCCCAGCAGGGAGCUCGAGUCUGCGAUUUUACACCGGAGAUGGACUCGUCCCAGCCCAGUUUUGAGGGGGUGAUCAGGAUGCACCUGGCAGGGAAGGGUGGACACCUUGGAUGACCGGCCGGCUGCGGGGGAGGGGGGUGCGAAGCUGGCCGGCUGAAGGCUGUUCCGAGACCCACGUUUCAAUGGGGCUCUGUUUUGCCUGGGAACGGUUCUUACCUAUGAAAUAAGCCUAUGUGUGUAUGAGUGCGAAGAAGUGGGUGGUGAUAUUUUUCUUAAAAAAAAGGCAAAAAUAACAAAGUGGCAUGUGUGCUUGGGGGUCCCAGGUCUGUGCAAUUUUGGGCCAAGUCGCUGCUUCCCCUCUUGGGCCUCGGUUUCCCUGGCCUGUAAGGAGAUGUGACAAUUCUGGUUCUGUCUUCCUCUCGGGUAUCACUUUAGGAAAAACCCUCGCUGUGAGGCUGUUGUUUUGUGCUUAAAAUGUUAGCGACUCACGUGGCACCUAGCACUUACAAAUGCUUGGGAGUUUGUGUUGAUUUGAACUGUAUCGAAAUCCUCUGCAGUGGCUGUCAGAAGGGUAUGGGCCGAGCAUGAGAAAUUGAGCAAGAUAAAGAGCAUGCCAGUCCCCUCAAGGCCUUUGACAAUGACAACAAGAUGGCCCCCAACUUGGGGGAUUGGAUCUGAUGGUUUGGAGGCCCUCCUUUUCCUGGCUUGUACACCUCGGAACCCUGAAUGUUUAUCCUAAGGUCCAAGGCCAGACUCUGUCUGCAGCCGCGCCCAGCCUGGCUAGGGUAAGGGUCCGAGUGCCCAAACCUGUACCCAGUCCACCCAAUUUGACCUCAGGCUCAAGGGGUCAGGCUCAAGUGGCUUCCAGAGCGUCUGGGCAGAGAGUGCACACCUCAGCCCCGGGCCCCUUGCCUCACCCCCCCCAACGCCGAAUGGCUGCUUUGUGCUAACGACGAUGAGUGAGGUCAGCUUGGUUUGCCCUUCACAAAAUUUCGUACUGCAGGGGAAGUUUUCUUGCAUCUGAGGUCCAUCCUUGUUAUCUACAGCAGGUUCUGUUUUCACCGGCUUUGGUGUUUGUAUGUGUGUACUGAAAAAGGGAGAUGGCGGGUAGGACCUGCCUUUGCUGGGCUGGGGGCUCGCCAUCAGCCCCUCAAAUCCGCCCCAAGCCGUAGGGGCAGCAAAACUUUUGUUUCUUUACACACAUACAUACUCAAGUGCAUACACAUGCGCGCGCACACGCCUCCCAGGAUAUUAUCCUCGUGUUGCUAACAUUUAAUGUUCUAAUAUUAAAGUUUGAGGCACCAGCAGACUGUCUUGAAAGGCUCAUUCAGCCUGUCUGCCUCGGAGCUAUUUUAUUUAUAAGUCUUCUUGUCACGUCAAAGAACUCUGUGUUUCUUGCAGACUGUGUUCGGGUGGUUGAGUGUUUUGGUUUUUGGCUACAGCUGGUUAAUUUUUCCGAAUCUGUAGAUCCAGGUGUGCGUUGAGAAGUUUUUUCCCAGCGCAAGAAGUUUCCCAGUGAGCCUUGGAGUCCUCCUAGAAAUUUCCGGCAUUCUACGUGUGAGAGACUGCCAGUUUCGGAGAAAUUGUGAGAGAGAGGGAAAGAGGCUUGGGUGCCUGCGUCCACUACCUCCGGCUGGACCAGGAGCCUGGGAAGGGCCCUCUUUGGGAGCAGGAUCUUGGAGCAUAUUUAGAAUUCAGAGUUGAAAACUGGUUAACGGAUAAGAUAUGAGCAAGGGCGUUAACUUUGAUGGUGGUUGACAAUCCCUGCCCGUGAUCAUCGUCAAAAACCGAGCACGGGAGUGAAAAUGCCUGUCCGCCUCUCCCAUUCUGUUGAAAUCCAUUUUAAAAAUAUAUGUUCAUCAUGGGGAAAUUAUAUAGACUCUUAUUUUCAAGGUUAAUGCCAUCCGUUGUCUGAUUGCUUACAUUACCACUUUCUUUUGGUUAAAAAAAAAACAAACUUCAUGUUCUUUUAAAAUUGGGAAUUACACCGAAAGUUGCUCUAUAAAUAGCAGGAAACAAAACAGGACAAAAGCAGUGGCUUUCUUUUUUAGUAUUUUUCUUUGCGGCUAUUAAAUAUUAUCCUGUUUUGCAGUGGUAGAUUUAGUUAAGCUAUUUCUUCACUUUUUGUAGAAAGGGCAUAUGUGAAAAAUCCCACCUUAACCUUGUCUUUCUGUUAACUGGAUCUAAAAUCUAUGAUAUUUAGACAUAGUCAGGAGAAUGAAACUAUUACAUAUUAAAGCAAAUUACUCACCUGUGUUGUAUGAAAUCAUAUUAGAUUUUGUAAAAAAUAAAAUGAGAAUAUUUCAAUAAAUAAGCCCGGCGUGGUCAAAUUUCAAACAACUUGUAAUUGACCCCCCCCAAAAAAAACCCUCAUUCUGCAUGUGAUUAUUUUGCAGGCAGUUUAGGUUUCGUUGCGACCAUUUUAAAGAAGUGAUCUGUGAAGUUUUGAUUUAAAAAAAGUUCUUGCUGUCCCUUGCAAUUUGACAAUGAACUGUUUGAGUUCUAAAUCAGGGUUUAUUUCCUUUCCUUUUUUUUCUUUAUUCUAGAGGGCUUAUAAUUUACUUAGCUCACUAAAUAACUGUAUGACUAAGAAAUGAUACUGAAGUUCUCAUUUCAUUUGUGGGGAAGAAAAAAAUUAAACUGACUUUCAUUAGUAUUUCAGCAUUAUUUAAAACAUUUUUAACUAAACAUUUGAUAGUUUUUAAAGUUUAAAAUUGCUUUAAAUUUUUCAUAUCUAAAUUCUGCUUAGAUGUAAUUCAAAAAGCAUAUGGGGUCAUUAAAAUAACGACUAUUUCAGGCCCCUUAAAGGACUGAUAUGAUGCAAAAAUACUUCAAAUAAAUCAGUGCUUUGCAACUGUGAAAGGAAGGCAUUCUUUGGACAUUUGAGGAAUGAAAUGCUUUUCAAAUUUUCUGAUGUCCUUUCAUUUUCGUGGAAAUCGGUACCUCCUUCUCCCAGAAACUGUUAAACUCCAAAUUCUAUAUAUCUUUAAUUGCUAAUAAACAUUUCCUAUAAGUGGCAUGAUAAAUUCUUUAGAAAAAUGUUAAUUUCUCUAAAUUUAUGAUGAUUCCAUUUUAGAAAUUGCAGGAUUGAGAGAUUAAAAUAAAUUCAGCACCCACUUCUCUUUGAAAGGUAAUUUUGAUUUUUUCAAAAUUUAGCUUGUAUUGUGCUUUUUCUCAUUCCUGAUAUGAAGCCAAGAAUCAAGUUUUGGCAUUUGAUGUACGCAUAUAGAACUGGAGAUCUUGGCCCGUCAGCCUCAAUUCACAUUUUCUGAUUUGUGUUGUUAGUACAUUGGAAUGGAAAAUAUUAAUCGUAAUUCCUCAUCCGUAAGGGGAAAAUUUUCAUGCCAGCAUGUAUGUAUUACAUACAGUAUAUUUCCAUAUUUAUAUAUAUAAUUGAACACAUGUUUAUCGUAGACGUCUAGUUGUUUUAUGUUCUCCUUUAUUUGAAAAAUAAUAACCCCUCAAGAAUGCUUUCCGGGUUGUUAGACUUUUUUUUAUAUAUACAUACACAGGUAACACAUGAUGAAAAGUGAAUGUGUGGACUUCCAAAUUGUGUAAAAUAUGGUGAAACAGCAGCUCACAGACCGUUUCUAAGCAGACGUGUGAUUGCCCAGUUGUGGGGUUACUGCCCAUCGGUCAGGAGGGAACAGAGGGCAUGCUGUUGAUCACUGCCGGCUGCAGGCACUCUAACUGUGUCCUUUCUAUUUUUCUAAAAAGGAAAGAAGGUAUAGAACUGGUAUGGCAGGUGCUGGUUUUUAGAGGGCGAGGGGUUGCUAAUGCCUCCUCCUGCCCGGUGCUUUGUUCCGCAAACACGCUUGUCCUGUGGCCAGAGUUUCAUUUCUGUUGUUAGUUAACUAAUGCCAAGUUUGACAUGAAACUGAGUGAACUGAAGCGAAAGAUUCGGAAAAACCCUUCAUUACGUUUGGAAGGAAGAACCCUUUCUGUGGAUGCUGCCUCACUUUUCCUUGCCCAGCCUGAGACCCUGUAAACUCUGUCUGACUUCUGUCUAAGCCAGUCGGCUUCUUUUCCCUCUCCUCUUCCUGAACUAUCUGCAUAAGAAAACAAAAAUGCUUACCCAAGGUGAACUGAUGAUGAUAGGUUUGUGCGUAAAUAAGUGAGAGCAAAACUGGACCCUUCGUAAAGUGGGAGUACAAGUGAUUACGACAUAGGCAUGUCAAAAUGGAAUCCCAAAGCUGCAGACUACUUUGAGACAAAGGCAAAAGAAAAAAAAAAUAUAGCUUCUUAGCGACUCCUCCAAAGGACGCCUUGGGAGGACUGAAGAAGUGGCAUCUUACUCAGGAGCUGCCACCAGCUCGCCAUCUCAAAUGUCUUGGGCCGGCUUUAAAAACAUCAUUGUUCUUGGGUGUGCAGGUUGGAUGUUCAAAAUCAAUGUGAAAAUGUAAGCUUUCAGUUACGCUCAUCCUACUUGCUUUAAUUAGACUAGAUGCAUCUGUUUACGAAGUCCUCGGAAUGCCUUGGAGACGAAAAAUUUUAAAUUAUUAAAUGUCACUACAUUGAGAUAAGAAAACCCCGAGUGCCCCCAGCCUUCUGAGGCUGAAGUGCGGCCGAAGCCUGAGCGGGGACGCAUGGGCUGGGGGGCAUAGCAGGAAGUUGCCGGUUGCAUUCCCAUUAGGCAGAUCUUGGGAGAAAUCAGGAAAAAAUAACCGUAUAAGGCUGAUACUAUAAACAUCCUGGGACAGCAAGAGCCUUCCUAUGACUUAUUUUUCUGGUGUGGCCCAGAGCUCAGACCAAGUUCUGCCUUCGGGAAACUUGUCCAUCAUAAGGCUCACCAACAAAGUAAAUUUUCCAGGUUUCCUUUUUGAUAAUUUGAGCACACUUUUUAAUAUUAUUUAUUUUGAAUAAUAUAAUAUGAUAGCGAGUUAGAAAAAGACUUUAAAAAACCAACCUGAAUGGAAUUCCUGAAUUCCAUUGGAAUUACCUGAAUCCUAUUAUUUUCCUUGACUCAAGCAGAAUUUGAUUUCUGAAUUUGCAACCAAAUUAUAUGUAAAUUCUUGCCGAGUAUAGAGGGGAUUAAAAAAAAAACAGUGUGUGUUCUUGAAUAUUGUUCUGACUCACCCAAUUUCUUGUUUUACCGAAUAAAAGUUGGGAGGAGGAAAAAGGCAUUAAAUUAACUUAUUACUGUGUGUGAGAGCAAGGAAAGAUAAAUCAGCUAAUAAAAAGGUUAGUAAGCCGGUAUGAUUAUACAAUGAUUUCAGGUGGAAAUUGCAAAGCUAAUAUCCUGGCAUUUAGUCAUUGUAAUGAUACAGUCGUCAAAUUUGUAUUUGUGCCAAUGGAACACAAGUUGUAAGUGGCAUAAUGGAAGAUAAUCUCUUUUUCUUUGUGGCUUUUUUAAUUCAAUGUUUUAAUCCACCCAUUUAAUCACAAAACAUAUAUCACAUUAGUUAUAAUAUUUAUAGUGUUUAGGAAAGUGAUUAUAAAUAGAUUAUAGUGUGGUUGGUGGAUGCAAUAUUUUUAUGUGUGUGUGAACAUAUCUCAAAGGUAUGCAGUGUUUCCAGAGUUUUGCACUUGGGAACGGUUUUACGUGAGAACAGUAACCAUAUAUUUAUUUUCAAAAUCCCCGUUCAGUUGUUACCGAGCUUGCUCAUUAUUUUGGAAAAACAAGAUUCGGUAUUAAAAGGGCCCGAUACUUCUGAUGUUUAGAUCUUUGCAUUCAGCCUAGUUUCAAAGCAGUUUUGUUGUUCUGGAGUCCUCAAGUUUGCUAAACCACAAAAUAUCUUUAAUAUGUUUUCUAAAGUAGUUGAGCCAUACCGUUAAGAUGAGGGACAGGCGGAAUUUAUAAUGGCCGUUAGUGGCUGGGUUCUUCCUUGGUGUGGCCGGAGCAGGAGGAGGGUGAUAGCGGGUUCUGUGUGGUUUUUGGGACUGCCCUGCACAUACUCAUCUCGUGGGGACGUGUUUGCUCACCCUGCACAUCCCAGUCGGGCUGGGAAUUAUAAUAGUGAAGAAAAUUACAAAGGACUAUGCUAGACGAGAGAUUGUUUUUCCCUGCGUGCGUAUUGCUAGAAUGUGGGUAUGGCAUUCCCGAGGCUCAGACUGCUGAGAGAACCAUCUUUUUCUGAGAAAGGAGGAACACAGAAUUCCUGGGCUUCCAGCUCUGGACCCCCCUAGCCCUCGAAACUGGGAGAGCCAGCCUGGACCUUCCUCAGGGAAAGAGUGAAACCCACCCCACUGUGAAAUCACCCCUGUUUGGGCUGUCUCUGCUCCUUGUCAGCAGCUAUGGAAAGUGAAAGUUGGUCAGGAUUUCAGUGAAAAGAUUAACCGGAAAGCAUGUCUACUACAUUUUCAAAAGCUGAAUUUUCUCAUAGGAAAAAAAGCUAUCCCUAGAAAGGAGAGGCCACAGUAAGAGUCUAACACCAAGGAAAGCAAUUUGGGGAGAUUUCUUAAUAUAUCCUGGGUUUUUUUCCCUCCCUCCCUUUCCCGCCUCAAAAUCAUGUAUGUCAUAGAGUAGUGGCAGUGGUGUGGGGGUGUCCAGCACAAUUCGAGGAUGAGGUCCAGGGUGUCUCGAAGGUGGGCCAGUGGGCAGCUGAGGCCCUGGGAGAGCUGCUCCAGCUGCCCCAGCCCAGCCUUGUCCAUGUGGCCAUUCUCUCUUCCUGAGCAGUGAAUCCAACGUGAAGUAGAGUUUCCUGGGAAGCAGGGCACACGAGGAACUUUUGAAUUUACCAAUGGCAUAAAAAGUAUAUAUAUUUUUAUGACAACGGGGAAGUUUCAAUUGGUUGACGGAAAUGGCGAGAUGUGACGUCAAGGGACAUUGGUUAGAAUGCCAAGGCCGGCUUGGGGGGUGGGGGGCUGGGGGGGAGACAGGCACAGAAACGUUGGGAUGGGGCCCAGGAGGCCUCGUUUCAAUUGGGCCCCCGUCGCAGGCGUCUGGGGACAGCCAGGUCCAUCUGACUCUGGGCGAGGGCAUGCCCAAGCUGGGGGAGGGGGUCCGAGCGCAGUGACCUCGUGUUGGCGUCCCCCAGCACCAGAGGCCCAGGCCGGCCCCUCUGCGGGGAAACCACUCAGGCGCCCCUGCGGAGGCUGCAGGAAAAGCUGCUUCAGCCUCCUUGGCAUUCUAACCAGUGUCGGGACCCUGGAGUCCAGCCGGUCGCGGCCCCGGGGAAGGGCGCGGGGAGGAACCGCGCUGCCAGGGGGCAACAGCGUAGUCGUCCGGCUCCGAAAGAGCAAAGCUGCGGCCUAGAACUUCUUCCCGCAGGUCUUGCGCCCUGGGCCAGGGGAGCAGGAAGUUGUCUCUGCGGGGAAGGAAGACAGCGAGCUCGGAGCUGGGCAGCAGCUCUGGGCACGGUGCCCCCGCCCAUCCCACGCCUCCCGGGCCACCGUGAGGGCACCCCCCCCAUUCGCCAGGCACCUUGCGCACCCCCUCCAUCUCUGGGCACUGUGCACUGCCCUCCUCCACUUCACCAGAUCCCGGGCACCGUGCCCCACCCUCCACAGGGCCGGCGGUGUCCGGGAAGCCGCCGGGAGGUCGCCCCUGGUGCGCGCCCUGCCCCGGGGAAGCCUGCUGCCACCGUCGACCCCGACCUCUGUCCUGGGACCUCGUCUGGAGAUCCAUGGCGCACAGCGGCCUCGCAGGGACGAGCCCGGCGACUGUGGCUGCUGUCCGCGGCGCGCACGGGGCUGCGGUCAGGCCAGGGACCGUCGGUCCGCCCGGGAUCCCCUAGCCGGGCCCGAGCGUGCGCGCGCGCGCCCUGCUGCCCGCAAUCAUGGCAGCCGGCGCCUCGGAGCGCAGCCGCCGAGCACGCUUCGGCAGCUGCCUCGGUGCCAGGGCGGCGAGGGCGGGCUAGGGCCGGGGCUUGCGCCUGUCCGCGCCCCUCGGGCGCGCAGGCCCCAGAGGGCGAAGCAGAAAGCUGAUGGGUCUCUGCGGAGCGGUGCCCCCUGCCCCGCACGGGCAGGCGGGAGGGGCCGCGGGCCGGGGGCGCGCGGACGGGGAGCGCCCGGGGCGGCAUGCCCGCGGGGGCGCGCACGCGGGGCUGCGGGACGAGGCGCGGGGCCCGGGCGGCGAAUCCGCUGCUCGCCCCGCCCGCCCCGCCCGCGCGCGCCGGCCCGAAGAGGAGGGUGCGCGGCGGAGGGGGGAAGCGGGAAGGGGCCGCGCCCCGUCCUCGCCCGUAGCGGGCAUGGCCGGGGGCCCCGGGAGGCCUCGUUGGUAUUCUGGGCACAGCCAAAGUGUUGACCUCCCCUCGGAACAGGGGCGCCAGGGUGCGCGGGCACGGCCACCACCCCCGGGCGGUCUCCCGGAGCUGCGGGGCCCAGAGGCGCCUUGCUCCCCCCACCGUCCCCUCCUCUCCGGGUCUCCCGUACCCCCUCCCCUGCCUCGAUCCGGCGGCGAAGGGGUGGGCAGGGAAACGCGCUCUCUGGGACAGGUGCCAACUCCGAGACAAAAGACAUAAAAUAGGCGGCAACGGGGGAAGCGCGGCCGGCGCGCUCGGGCGGGGACGGAGGCGCCGCGGGGGCCGCAUCCUCGGUGCCGACCGGGGAAAGUUUGGGAACUCGCCGCAGCGGCUUCGCAGCGGCGGGGGACGCUCGGGCCGGGCCGCCCUCCGCGCCGCGCUCACCCUCUCCGCGCCGCUGCUGAAUAAUUCAUGGCGCGGCCGCCGGCCAUUAGCAUGCACCGGGCGCGCGGCGCGUCUGUGCCAAGCCGCCGCCGCCGCAUUCGGCGCCCGGGCCGCGCCAGACGAGCGGCCGCGCGGAGGCCGGGCCCGCGCUGUCCCCGCGGUCGCCCGGCGGCGCCCAUUGUGCCCUCGGCCCGCGCCGCCCGGCCGCCCCGAGCCCGGCCGCAACCCGCAGCGCGCCCGACGGCCCGGCGCUGCAAGUUGGGGCCCGCGGCGCCGGCCCGCCCGCCCCGGGAUGCACGUGAACUUGGAGAAAGUCGCGGGGCGCGCCGGCCCGGACCUCCGCGGCAGGGCGUGGGCGUCCCCCGCCAGGCGCGCUUUCGUUUUCGUCCGGGACAAAGGUCCUCGCGGCGCUGGUCGCAGACACGGAGACCAGGUACUGCGGGCCACUCUUCGUUGAGGUCCGGUCGUUCAAUCCAGGAAAGCCGGAGCCGGGAGAAAGAGGAGCGGCGCGAUGCGGGACCGGGGAAGUGGGGCCUGGCCGUGCGCUUCGCCGGCGCUGCCCCGGAGCCGUCCCCGCUGCGGAGAGUUGCGGGAGAUGGCAUCGCUCUGCUCUCUGCCGUUUCGGCGCCUGAAGGAGGGAAGCAUUUGGAACCCAGGACUCAGACCGAUGACCCAGGGCCUUUGCAGCCGCGGGCACGGCAGCCUAGCGCCGGCUGCUUCCGAGCGCGUUCCUCCAGCAAGGGCACGGCUGUCGACCUGCGCGCCCCGGGUCGCGAUCGGGUUCAAGGCGACUCCUGAGAACGGGCAGGCCUUCCACCGACGAGGGGACACACGGACGAGGUCGCUCUGGAACCCGAAGCCGCACCAGCUUUCAAGAACUCCACGGCCGUCGUUAAGAUUCUGGAACUUGGAAUUUGUGAAAUACAGCCGCUCAUCUCAGGUGUGCGGGCCGUUUGCCAGAGAGAAUUUUGUUGAACACGUAAAAUAGCGUUAGCAGGCAUCCAAAACAGAAUAGAACGAGAAGAGAAAACGUCUGUUUUCAGGGCCAGCCCCAGGAUGGCCCCUCGCCUGCACUUCGCCAUGCCUGGCCUCUGGCCACUACGAGGCCCGAGAACUUCCUGAGUGACGGGGCUCCAGCUGCUGGCAGGGGCUGGCUGCUCAGCAUGGGCAGUGUGUGGUGAUGAGGCCUCCACUCUGGCGGGUCCCGGAGCAUGCUGCCUGAACUGGUGCGGACAGCACUCUGCUCAGUGGAAACAGCAGGAAGCUUUCCACUGGGGUGACUUUUGGUCCGUGUGCUUUGCACCUGACUGGGGCCAACUCUCUAUGAACCAGUCUCACUUGCUCCCAUCCUCAGCAGGGUGCUGGGGCCUGUCCUGCCCUGGCGUGGACUGGGCCUGACUGGAAGACAGCCCGUGGGGCCGAGGGAGGGACCAGGGACUUUGUCCGCCCUGAUGGGCACCUUGCCUGGAUGGGUGCUCUCUUGUACUCAGGGAAAUCCCUUGCGAGGCACCGAUGUGUGCUCCCACUGAGGCCCUUCCAUGCCAGGCAGGAAACCAUCUUAAAACCACCAGCCUUGGUGGUGGUUGUUGGGCUUGGAAGGGUGUAUUUGCAUAUUUGGGGAGAAGGGAGAAUACUCGUGCAGAAGUCCCAUUAAGCUGGAGUGUCCCAGCUCACAUCCGGGCAGCUGCGGUCCAGCCCCUGCCCCUGGCUCACCGUGUGACCCUGGACAAGUCACAUCACCUUCCUGGGCCUGUACCCUGAGCUCAGGAGCAGGAGGGUCGUUGGGAGGGUUCAGAUGACAUUAUUUCCACAAAGCACAGUUCCUGGCACGUGGCAGGGACGCGGUAAAUGGCUGCUGCUGCUUGUUAUCGUUGUAAAUGGUAAUCGCCAUUUUUAUUGCUAGUUACUAUAUUUUUGAGUUUCUAGGGAACAGAAAGCCCAGUUUUGGUUGCACCAGAAAAGACACCUGGAAGUUUCCUCCCCCUCCCCCCGCCAGGUGGUAGUGCAAGUGCACCUUGAGGAUAUUUUCUUCAAGGUAGACUGUCAGGAGCCUGCAGAGGGGGCUUUCCUUGUCAGGGGGACUUGGCCUGGAAGCACUGGGUACACUGGAUGGGACCAGGCCCCUGGAGUCCUCCCAAGAGGUCCCCUGAUGCCCCUCGCAAGAAUGGCACUUGAAGAGCUCACCUGGGUGCUGGCCCCGGGGCUCAGACCCCGAAAGAUGAGGGCAAGACAUCCUGACUGCGAGGUCCGGAGGGGCCAUGCCAGCCACCAGCAUCCUUGCUGGCAACAUGGGUGGCAGUUCCGUGGGAGGGUUUCACCAUUCUGAUGGGCUAAUUGUUCCUUAGCCUGAUACAAGCCUACGUUUACCAAAAUGCUGGCUUUGGGAGAAUUUUAUCUCUUAGCUGAUCGUUCAGGAAGACCCAGCAAGAUGGCCCUUUCUCAAAACAUCUUGUUGGAACAAGAAAGAACCAUAAAUGGCAUCAGCCAUGCUUUUCUGAUGUUAUGCGGCCGAGGAGGGAGAAAAAGUAACAAUUGUCUCCGAGUGAAGACAAUGGACCUUUUAUAUGAAAUAUUUAUUUUCAGGGCCAACCAGUGUCCCGUUGGCUGGGACAGUGGAGCUCGAGUGUCUGGGUGUUGCGGGCCCUGAGAACUCAGGGACGAGAUUUACAGAAAAGGAAGAAAGAAAGUCCCCACCCGUGGUUCUUGGGAAACUUCAGUGGGAACGGCUGGCUUUCUUUAUCAAGUGGAAUUUAAACUUCCACGAGUUUCUUUUUUCUUCUGUGAUUUCUUUUGAAAGACCCGCAGGGGCACAUUCGCAGCCCCGGAAAGAUAGCUGGGUUUUGGCUCUUGGGCUGGAUGGCUCCCUCGGGCCAGGCCCUGUUGGCCUUUGUCUGCUGGGGGGUGGCAGAGUGCAAGUGAGAAAAACAGGACUGGAAGAGGAAGGGUCUGUCCCUGAGGGUUGGGGGGAGCCCGCCGAGUGCGAUUUGGGACAGUAUUUGUGGUUCUCCGGUGUCCUUUACUCCUCCCCAAAUCCCGUUCUGUGAUGAACUCAGGAGCGGCCUGCAGGUUAUUGGAGUCUGGCCUGACUUGGCAGAGCCACACACAGACCCUCAAACACUGUCCCCAGCUGGAGAGGGUAUGUUUGUAACUCUUGGAUGGAUGUUUUCUGAAUUAAUAGAAUGAACAGAAUUUCACUGAGGCCUACCCAUGAGCCACCUCCCUCUUGCCUUCGCGGCUGCCGGGAUGGUGCUGGAGCAGCUGGACUCGGUUCCUGCUAAAUUCACAGUCUCAGUGUAGCCGGGAAGGCGCCCUGGGAAGCGAGGCUCAUGUUAGGGACCCGAGGAGGAAUUGAUGGGGCUGGGGCUUGUGAGGAGAGUGUCAGGGAGCGGGUCUUCCCAGCAUUUGGGGCACAAUGGGAAGGCCUGGGACAGUUGGCCCAGGACCCUGGCCAACUUAGGGGGUCCUCAGUCUGGAUGCCCCUACAAAGCGGAUGGAGGACAGAAGGAGUCGCCCGGAUCAGGGUGUGGGGGGCCCUCCCUUCCAUGCGUCCCCUAACCCAAAGACUUUGUUGGCAAAUAAUAUAUUUGGCUUCAAAAAGGAGGUUUUGUUUUUUAAAGCUGCUGUCACCUAUAUUUAUUUUUUAAUCCUGGAAGCUGUUGACUGUGAUCUCUUUCACCUUCUGCGUUAACCUGCCCCCAAAAAUGCUAUGACGAGAGCUCUCUCUCGGGGGUGACCACAACAGAGCCUCUGAGGCCAUGAGUAGAAUUGUAAAAAUGGGAGUGGAAAAGACUGAAAUUUCGUGACCUGGGUCAGAAAAACCCUAACACACAGGCUUUUAUUCACUUUUGGGGAGGAAGGGUUCAAAGUAAAAUGCUGCCCGGUCUUCUUGCGAAAUUUUGGGUGGGAAGCUUGUUUGAGUCGGGGUCCGGGAGCCCUGCCUUUCGGGAGGGCUCAGAAACCCGCGUGGAUGGAUGAACGGAGCGUCUCGACAGCCGGUGGGGGCCGCUGCUCAGUUAGUGGCUGAGGGAUUUUCGGAGUGGAGAUGUGACCAGCGGAGGCCACGCUGAUUGUCGUCAAAUGAGACUGGUGGUUGUGGUUAGGAAAAUGUGUGCUGUGCAUGGGAUGUCCAAAGUAAAAGGCCAAUUUUUUUUUUUUAAGGGAGUAAUAGAAUUUUCUCUCAAGAUUAAAACAAGAACGUCAUCCCUGAUGCCUUUGGUUUCCAGUGCCGGGGCUGGGUUUUUCUGUGAAAUGCCUUCCUUUACGUCUUGGCUUUCCGAUGGCAGAAAGAGCCUCUAGCUGAAAUAUUUACCUGCUGAUUUGGGGCUCUUAAAUCUAGAUUUGCCUUUCAUGUGUUGAAGAGCGAUAUUUACAUUCAAAUCAGCCUUUUAUAAUUACAUUUUAAAUUAUAAUAAAACGAUGGUGGGGGGGGCGGCUUCAGUCUUCCAUGUGUUUAACAGGGAAAGUCGCUGGGCGAAUGGCGUGUGGCUUGCACAUCCCAUCGCCAGACCUGCCCAGGCUCAGAGCAGGUGCCUGAAGUACAGAUUCUGGCCUGCAGGGUCACACGUGUGUCCUGAGCAUGUCAGGGUCCGUGGAUGUCGCCUGUGGAGCCCUCCCCGAUCUGCCUGGAGAAGAGUUUGUGGAUGGGGAUUCUGGCCCCAGCACAGUGGGGACGCUGCCAAACCUCAUGGCAUGCAGUUCCAGCCUGAUUCGGGCCUGGCUGCCCUGCCGCCCUGGCUGAUAUGUUGUGUCCUGAGCUUCACGCUGGCCCGCAGGCCUCGGGGUGGAGGCCAUUAUCUCCUAGGUGGCCAGCUGGGCACAGCAGCGGCCACUCCUGGUCGUGGCGAUACUGUGUGUGUGUUGGGGUGGGGAGUGCCCACCUCCUCCUGCAGCCGUAACCCAGGUUGUGCCUUCUCUCUCCUGUCAGGGCCGGCCCCAAAAUGGCCACCCAGUUUUCAGGGGCUUCCCUCGUGGAGUAUGGGGGGACCCUGUCCUCCCGGGGCCAGGCUGCUGGCAGCCGUGCCAAGCCCUUUCUGGAAUGGAAUUCCCAGCGUUCCUGGUCGGGCGCAUGGCAUCGGAAUCCUACCUGCUUUGUCUCUGGCAUCAGCUGGCGACUGGUCACGUGGCCUUGUGCAUAAGACCAGAGCCCGAGGACCAGAGGGCUCCUCCUGGCUGCUUCCUCCUCAUUCACUCGGUCCCCCCCUCCUUUCGCUUUGGGCAUGACAGUCUCUGAGCAGGCAUAAAGCAAUAUUAAAAUAAAAUGUACUCGAGGCCGCUGGGGAACUCCCAUCCCCAGAUGCCGAGGUGUCCAGGCCGCCGCUUACCUCCAGUCGUUACCAACAGAAAGGCCCGGAGCUGGGGUGUAAACUUACACAGCGGCCCAGCCACGGUCACUCGGUCACUCGUGCUGUCCCCUCCAGUUCAGCACGGAGCUGGCCCUGCCUGCCUGGGAGCCCCUUCCCACACUUGCAGCCUCGCGGCUCACCCUGCACAGGGAUAGCCUGGCGGUCGUUGCCUCAGCUCCUGGCCGCAUAAAAAGGCUGGAGGAGAGACUUGGGCAAACAGGUUGGCCACGCAGACCUGGCCUGCUGCCCGCAGGAGAGGGCAGCUGAGUCUGCCAAAUCUCCGAAUGAAAGUGCCCACAUUUAAACCAAGCCCACUGACCCGGGUCAGAGGGCCGAGCGUGGGCAUGGGUCACCUCUCCCCUUGGUGGUAAGGAUUGGCUUUGGUGAAACUGAAGGAUUUGUGGUGGUCUGAGAGGGAUAUGGUGACGUGCCUGGACUCUGGACCCCUCGUGACUGCUUGGCCACCUUUUGGCCCCUGUCUGCAUGGUGGCCGUGUCCUGAGUGCCGAUGACGUACCACGUGCCAUGCUCAGCACUCCGCUUGCAGUUUUGUCAUCAAAGCAGCCCUGAGUGGCAGGAGCCAUUAUCCCUAUUCUUUUUACAGAUGGGGAAACUGAGGCUGGGAGAGGCAGCGUGGCUUGCCCUGGGUUAGGUGGCCAGUUGGGCACAAGGCCAGAUUCAAACCUGUGACCACGGCCUCAGCUGCAACCGAACAGCCUCCCAGGGCCUUGGCUAGAAUGGGCUCCCUCCAAGGGCCGGCCAGGGAGCUGUUGGGGUGGGGGCUCUCGGCCUGGCCCGGGGAGCACAGCCGGGGUGCCGGCCGCCGCCUGCUCCUCUGCAGGGCCCGGCAUGGGAACAAUGCGGCCUCUAUCCCGGGAGUGAGCCCAGGCCGCCUGGACUCCCGGAGCAGCCGGCCAGGCCGCCUGCCCGCAACAUGGCGCCCGGGGCCGCGCCACCCGUCCACGGGGAGGGCUGGCGCCUGGGCCGGGCCUGGGCCAGCCGGCUCCCGGCGUCCCCCUCGGGCUGGCCGCUGAGUGGCCAGACGCUCCUGCUUCCUCCUCCCUCUCCCGCCUGGCCAGCCCCCCCUUCCUGCUGGUGGGUUUGGGGGUCCGGCCCACCCGCCUCUGCCACGUCUGCCAUCCUCCCGGCACCCAUGAGCAUCUUUCAAAAAUUCCCGGUGGGCGGGGCCGAGCCGCAGCGGCCGCCUCUGGCCCCCCCUCCCCGGGCAGCCAGUGCCAGAUGAGAGCAGGAGACAAAAGUAGCAUUUUCCUCGUCCUCCUGGGCUGGCAGCAGGGCCUCCCCCAGCGCCACUUGGCUCCUGGCAGCCCUGCCCCCGGGUGCCGUGGUGGCCGAGGCCCAGGCCGCACCGGCUAGGACCAAGGGACCGAUGGACGACGGUGGCCAGAGACCAGGAGGCCUGAGGGCCUGUCGGUCGGGGGCUGGCACCUGGAGACAGCCUGCUGGCCGGCAGGACCUGUCCUCCUCUGCCUGCCUCUGUGACCGGCAGGCAAGGGGACACCAUCUUCACCUCCUUGCUUUUGAGAACGCCCCUCGUCCUCCUGCGCCUUGGAACGUGGCUCCUCCCAGGGCACCCCCAAGAAAGUGGGCACCCAUCAUGGCCUUUGGAAGAUGCUCCGGGACUGCACCAGGGCAUCCAGACUUCUUCCUGCCUCACUCCCAGGCCCCAGAGGAGCUGAAGGGGGGCCAGGCCUGGCUGAGAAGUGGGGGUCUAGCUUGGGACCAGUGCAGCCGCCACGUGCAAAGAUGAAGCCUGCACGUAUGACCCUCGCUGAUUGGAUGGGCAGGAAGAGCACUAAGGGGUCAGUUAAUUUCUUGUUUUUGUGUACAUAUAUAUAUAUGUGAAGCUGCUUAGAGCAAUGUGGACAGUGUAGCACAAUAAAAAGAAACAGCUGAGGAAAUUGGAGCCCAGGGAAAAUCACAGGCAGGCCUAGCAGAAGCCGUGUUGUAUAGGAGCCUUGCAGUUGCUGGUGUGACCUGUGAAUUCAGCUCCAAGAUUCCCAGCAGCCAAAGCAAAGAGGGGAAGACUAGCCUUUGCAGGAAGUGAUGUUGGGGAGCACUGUCUUCAACACUGGUGCUGAGAGUGAGCUGGUGCUGACACUCAGGGUGUCCCAAAGGCCCCGAUGAGGCCAGGGGAGACAGAGAAGGAGGGAGCUCCCCGCUGCUCCAUGCAGUCGCAUUCCUCUCAACACGCUGAAUGCCGCACUCGUCGUUUCAUCUGAUUCUCCCCAGCCCUAAAGCCUAGGUCGAGAGGGGCAUUGAGGGCCCAGGCCAAACCCUCAGGCCUCACCAAGCCUGACUUUGAACUUGCAUCUCUCUGGCCCCCAAAUCCACAUCCUUGCAUCCCCAUCUGCUGCCCUUUGGAGAGGGGUGAUCCCAGAAAACCUGGGUGUUUCAGGGGUGACUUUGGGCACAAAGUCACGUAGAUGGGGCAGCUUCCUGGCCCGCGGGGUCCCUUGGGAGCCUCUGGGUGGUCUCUGAGCUGUGCUGGGCUUCUCGGGGUCUUAGGGCAGGCUGGGCUGGAGCUCACAGGGCACAAAUGCAGAACGUGACCCCCACACAACUGGGGGCUCCUUCCCAGGAUGUAACCAGUGUCUCUCCUUCCUUCCAGGUCUCACCCCUUCUUUCCAGCUGCUUCAUUCCCUGCGUGACACCGGAAGCUCGGACAACAGUGCCAGCUCAGGUCAAAAAGUGGUGGCGAGACAGGAGCUGCUGACCUCGGCCGAGCUUCCUCACCGUGAGCUGGGGUUCCCUCUGGCCUUCGCCGUCGACUGGGCAUGGCCUGAAGCAGCCACGGUCCACUGCCGGGUGUCUGCAUGGAAGAGGAGCGCUCAGCCUCAUCUCUCUGCAAUGGUGAGGACUCGCUGUCCCCGGGUCACCCCCCAGGCUCGCCCUGCCUCGAGGGCCCUCUGGGGCCAGGAGUCCCUGAGGUAGCCCCUUCUCUCCUCCCAGCCGUGAACCAGCCCUCGAGGGUGUGAUUAAUACACACAGGCCGCCUGCCAUCCACCUGAGAUGCCACACAGGUGAAUCUAACCUGGAACAAGAAGAAAGGCCACAUGAGGGAAACUGAGUCACAUCUUCUCCUAGACUAGGGCACGGGGCGGGGCUUGUGGUGGCAGCCAGGAUGUGUGUCUCUUCCUGUGUGCCCCUCUCUCCCUGCCUCUCCCAACCCUGUGGAGCCCCGCCCGUGGGCUGGCCCAUCGCGUAGUCCCUGCCUCCCAGCUGGGGCUGGGGCCCUCCGGGGUCAGCACUGCAGGCUCUGGAGCUGAAGCCCAGGCCCAGGGGUGGGCAAGUGGGUCCAGGCCGCAGGGCAGGGGCUAUUGGAGUCCGCCUGGCACACACCCGUGGGUUCCAGCUCUGAUGUUAGUUAGGGUGGCCUGGCUGCUGCCCGGAUCCCCCCAGCUGGCUCUGCCUGGAGCAUCCUUGGGGAUGCCCUGGUCCCACCGCAGCCAAGGAGUCCGGGUAGAGGCAGGGGACUGGAAGUCGAGACACUCUCAUGCAGAUUUCUUUCUGGGGCCUUGAGGGAGCACAGGGGUCUGUGCUCACAGGCCGACCAGGUCCUGGGUUGGGGCUUCAGGCUGUGCUGGGACGUUCCUGGUCCCCCCUCCCAGGUGACUGCGCCUCAGUCUCCCAUUCUGGGUAGGCUGUGCCACGCAUGGGCGCUGAUGCUAUGGUCCCUGGUUGGGGUUCGUGGGACUUAGUCCCGCCCCUUGUGGGCAGGGCACACGCCUGCACAGGGUGUUGUCAGCACAGCGCCUGACACCCAGGGGUUCGGGGGCAGCAGCUGCUUGCUGCUUGGGCCUGAGCACGAGACCUCCCUCUGCAGCCAUGGGCAAGGCCAAGCCUGGGAGAGCCUGAGAGGGAGCCCUCUGCUGACCUGGGGUCAGGGACCCUGCCCAUCUGAGCCUCAGUUUCCUCACCGAGAAAUGGGAUUGGUGAUCCUGGCCUUACCAGGCCUGUGAGGACCAAAUGGCACGGCCCAGCCUGGUGCCUGCCUGGAGGAGGCAGCCUGCUAGGAAGGGAUGUGGAAGGAGGUUUGAAGUUUCAGAGCUCAGAGCUCUCUUUGCACUUGACUAGGCAGAAAUCAGAACGUUCGGAGCUCUGCUCUGAUGCCAACGGCUGCGUGAACUUCAUGUCGCCUCUCUGGGUGGGCCUCAGUCUCAUCACCUGUGAGAUGGGUGGACAGUAGUCCUUGCCUCAUCGGCUUCACAGGGUUCCCCAGGAAGGUGGUGGCCAUGCCGGUGGCUGUUGUGGAUGUUUAUCGAGGCUGCCUCUGGGCCUGUGUGUCCCUCGAGGGUCCAGUUCUGGCCCAGCCACUCCCCUGGGAGCCAGGUUCCCUUUAGAAGAAAAGAACAGCAUCCAGAGGCCUCUUGCAAAGUGGGGGCGGCUCAGGUCACCCUAGAUGCAGGACCAGAUCAGCAGAGCCUGCGGGGAGGGAGUCGCACCUGUCCCGGGGGUGGAGGGAGCAGGCCCGCAGAUCACAGGGGCAUCUGGUGUGGCCAGGAGCCGGAGGCUGGGCUGUUGGUCGGAGGGUGGGCAGCCAUGUAGACACUCACGGCACCUUUCUGACACAUGGCCUCUAACAAUUGACAACCUUCCUCCCAGUGUCACUAAUGCAGAAGUCCCUUGGGGACAUGGUGACCACUCCUGUCCAGAUGGGAGUGGUCCAGUCGCCUGUAAGAGUUUCCCAAAAGCCACCUCGAACUUCUCCCCAUGCCCUCCCUCCCUCCCCUCUCUCUCCCCUUUUGGUUGGUGGCUUUCUCCUGGGGCACCCUCUCUGCGGUGGUGCUGCCGGCAGUUCGCUGGUGCCCAGGCCUUUUGCUGACCUGCCUGCCAGAGUCCCUGUCCCCUUAGCACCCAGAUGGCCUGGCCCCCAGCCCUGGUUCCCCAGUGCCUCUCCUCCUUCCAGGAGGUGCCUCUGGAAGCCGUGAAGUCCGUCCGGGAGCCAAGACUGACGGCCCUUUGGGGUGAGGUAGUAGGUUGUAUAGUUUGGGGCUCUGCCCUGCUAUGGGGUAACUAUACAAUCUACUGUCUUUCCUGAAGUGGCCGUAAUAUCAACGGUGGACAGCAUCCAGAACCCUGGCUGGGAGGGUCAUGGGUGGCAAGCUGGGGGUGGGGAGCAACCCUGCGGGGUGGGUGGCAGUGGCUGCCAUGCAGUAAGAAGACUGACAGGCCUAGGGUUCACUUGCUGUGUGAUCUUGGGCAGGUCCCUUAAUCUCUCUGGGCUUCAGUUUUCUCAUCUGUGAAAUGGGGGCAAGUGAGGAUUAAAGGAGAUAGUGUGUCAAGUGUCUAGGGUGGGGGGCUCGGAAUUGGCCCUUACUUCUCUACCCACUGUGCUGAGACCCAGUAGAUGCAUGGGACAGUUUGUGCAGCCUGCUCCCCUAUCCUGUGGGUGGCCCCAAGCACGUGUCUGGACUGUGCCCUCAGCUGUGUCCCUGUGGCCAGCGCUGGGCACCAGGAGGAAUUGCUGUGGGCUUGGCUGAGGUUGCAGGGCAGGGAGACCCACGGGUCUGCCUUCAUCAGUGCGUCCCCCAGACGAUGCUCCAGCCUGUCCAGCUCAGCGUCAGGCCUGGGGAGGGUGGGAGCCGGGGCCAUCCCUCCUUGUGGCUCAGCUCUCCCGAGCAGGAAGCGGGAGGGGCGUUGUCCCAGCCCAGCGAGCGCCCUCGGCCCCUCCGGCUCAGGCCCACCCUGCCCUCCAGCAGCCUGCAGGUGGACGGUAUGGGCUGCACUGCGUGGGGAAACCGAGGCACCAUCUGCAUUUUCGCUCCUGCCCUGCGCCUGCCCAGCCCUCCAGCUCAGCUCUGGUGGCUGCGGACCACCGGGCAGGGCUGGGCUGGGCGUGGGGCAGCGGCGGGCCACGGACCCUCCCGCCCCUGGGCGCCGGCGGGGUGAGGUAGUAGGUUGUGUGGUUUCAGGGCAGUGAUGUUGCCCCCUCGGAAGAUAACUAUACAACCUACUGCCUUCCCCGAGGAGCCCCGCGACACGUGCCCGCGGGAGGGCCCACCCCACGCGCCACGCUCCAGGGGGAUGCCGGGGCUCUGGCCGGGCAGUGGGAGGCCACAGUGUGCACACCUGACUGUAAUAAAAGCUGAUGUGAAACUGGAAUCUGGCCCCUUCUUCCUUCUGGAAGCCCAUGGGCUGGACGGCGGAGAGUGUGUGCGUGUUGGUGGUGCCAUGGGGGGCAUGUGUGUGGCCUGACUGAGGAGCUGCCACCUGGACCCUUGGGGUCACCAGGCCUCCCGUCUGCACCCCCGGCCCGCCCAUUCCAGCAGCCCUCAGACCCCUCCGAUGGGUUCAGUCCUAGACCCAGACCCAGCCCAUCCUCUACCCCACUCAUACCCCCUCCGAGGGCGGGGCUGUGGGACCCCGGCCCCAGAGGUGUUACUUGGCCCCCAGCCUGGUGGAGAAGCCCACCGGACAGCUGCCUUGUGGGUGGUACAGACCCCACAGGAGCUCCGAGCGCAGUCCGGGGCCUGGCCCCCUCGGCCCCCUCAGUACCUGGGGCUUGACUGGAGCCCGGAAGUUCCCGUCGUCCCAUACCCAGCUCCCCCAGGACAUUUCCAGGGUCGCCCUUGUUUCAGGUGUCCGUCCUUGGGCCGUGUGCCAUUGCAAGCAUUCAUUGUGUUUCUGCCUGAGGCCUUGGCUCUUGUGUUGGUGGCGGCCGCAGGCCUGUCCCUGUGAUCCCAGCCUGAGUGUUAGAAGGGGCCUGUCCGUGCCUGACCCAGUGCUGAGAGCACCCCUCCGGGGGCAACACCCUCCCCUGUACCCACGAUGCCCGGCACAGACCCCAGUAAGGCACCACCUUCCUAGCCAGAGCCAGCCCCUCAAGUCACCCCACAACCCCCUAGGAAAGACAGUUCCAGGCUGGCCCUUGCAACAGUGUGCACAGAACCGAACUCCACCGCACCCCCAAAUGCUGCUGCCUGACAACAGAGCUGACAGGACAGAAACAGUCCUCAGUUAGUGAUCUAGGACAGGGACCCUGUGACAGGGACCAGAAGAGGCUCUUGACCCAGCCAGGGGUCCGCAGAGGCCCCAUGUGGAGGGGCCAGCUGAGCUGAGCACCUCUUGGCCAUGCACACAGCAGCCUGGGGUCCUGGCGGGACCCAGUGCCCUCAGCCCUCCCACCUUGGUGAUUGUCUCCAAGCUGCAUCUUGGCCCCAAGCUCCAUCCUGAGUCUCCUGGUCUCCUACUUGGUCUUUGAAGGUCCCCCCAGACCCACAUGACCAUGCCUGGGCAGACCAGCAAGUGCCUGUCUUCACCCUGGGCCUAUUGCCCUCAAGGGGCUGCGGGAGCCCAGAUCAGGGACCCCAAGAGGCAGGGCUUCCUAAACAGGAGCUAUCUGAGCUGGGUCUUGAUGGUUGUGCAGGAGUUUGCAGCUGGAGACAGAGUGAGGAGCUCCUUUGCCCUCUGGGGCCGGGGCCAUGGCACACUCUGGCACCAUCCACCUCCCCGACUACCCCAUACCCAGUCAGUGGCAGAGUCCGGCCUCCUGUGUCUCCUGAGCAUCUUUUCCGUCCCUCUCUCCAUCCGCACUCUCACCACCAGGCCUCAGAGCCUCUCUGAGCAGCCCCUCUGCAUUCUUGCAG